AUAUUAAUAUAUAUAUAUAUAUAUAUAUUACUACUCCUCGAGGCGCUCCCAACCUAAGAAACUUCUAUCAGCUAACUCUUCCUCGCUCCAGCUUCAGCUCCCACUUCGUGCAACUAAGUUAUACUUGAUGAGGAUCUAAGUGAAUCUGAAUAAAGAGAGGUAAGAGUGGAGAUAGAUGGGGAUGACUGAGUGGUGGACGGGGAUAUGUUGAAGUUGAGCAAUCUGAGCAUUCAAGAAAGCCAAGUUAGGAUCGGGAGCUGGAGCAGAUGAAGUAUAAGCGGCAGGAGGUCGGAAAGUACUCGGAGUAGGACUGCGAAAUUCUGUUUGAGGUGGUUAAGAAGAUGGAGUAGGCUUACGUCCCUUCUUGGGGUAGUUGUACUUCCAAUGACCCCUCUGAUGGCAGAACGUACACAUUUGGAUCUAAUGGUCCUUUCUUGGGCUUCGCAGUGGCCUGAAGUUGAUGAGGAGGUGGGGUUGAUAAUAGACGAGGCUUAGUAGGAGCCAAGAAGAUAGAGGGAGGAAGAGUCUGAUUGGUAUUCUUAAGUCGGCUUUCCUCAGAGAGGAGCUCACGAACAAUAGCUUUCAUAGAGGGAAGAGGAGAUCAGUGAAGGAUACCACCACGGAUAGUCUUAUACUGAGGGGAGAGAGCCGUUAAGAACUGCACUAAACGACCCUGCUCCCGAAACUUAAUAAAAGCGUUUAGUAUCUUGAGACUAGGUGGUUCCAUAAGAGUCAACUGAUCUUAGAGACCUAUCAUUUCAAUAUAGAAAUCCAGAAUAGACUGAUCCUGCUGACGAACACUCUGAGUAGCUGUUUCUAACUCAUUCCGCUUGGCAAAGUUGUACUGUUGAUAAACACUCUAUAAAUAAUCCCACACUUCCUUGGCAGUAUUGUAUUUAGAAAACAUUAUCCUAAUAUGGUUAUCUAUGGAAUUAUGAAACUAGGUUAGAACUUGGACAUUAUCACAAUCCCAGGUGUCACAAGAAGUCAGAUAUUCUUCUGUUUUCAGGUCUGACAGACAAGGAACAGAACCAAAAACAUAGCCUCAUUUUUUCUGAUUUGGAAGAAAAUUCUUCAUAACACUGGGUCAAUAAGCAUAAGUGGCACUAGUGAGUUUGCAUAUGAAUGUUUGGAUUUUGGUGUCCGACAUUGUGAAGAUAUGUAAUCAAAACAAGAGGGGUCCAAACGAAAAAUAAAGAGACAAGCUGUGGUCAAAACGUAAAAACCAGAAUUUUGAUCAAUCAAACAGAUAUAUCGUAAUAUAUAUGAUCACAAUUUCAAAAUAUUAGAGUGAAAGGAGAUACCAAUCACCGGCGAGUUACAAGCAGAGAACAAGAAUCAUCGAGGCAACCAGUAGAUGUGGCGAGCACAUAAUGAUGCGAGUUGCAAACCAGAGAGGAUGAAUCAGCGAACCAGAAAACCAAAAUUAGAGACAACCGCGAGUCAAAGAGGAGAUAGAAGAAGUCACGAACAACACGUCGGAGGGGAGUCCUUCGGCUGGAGAUAACCAAAUGACCUAGACAACCAGCAAUCAAUCCAGACCCAAUCAACCCAAAUGACCUACGAAGCAAGGAGCUUCGAUCGAUCGCGAACCAGAGAAGGAAACGACAAACCAGAAAUAAGAGACUAGGGUUUCGAAAAUAGCUUUGAUACCAUGUAAGAUUUCUGAAUGAACAAUUCUGAAUAUUCAGUUGUAUAUUUACAAAGUACACAACUGUUUAUAUAGCCCUAAGACAGAGAUUAAAAAAAGGAAAUAGAAUCCCUAUACAAUCAAAGGGAUAUCAAACAUGGCUAAUAUAAAUAUAUACAUAAUAUAUACUAAUACACAGAAUAGAUACGAAUAUAUUCUCACAACCUGUUCAUUUGUAUAUUUUAAUUUUGUGUUUGGGCCUCAGAAUCUGUAUGGUUUUACUUACAUAAAUGGAGGGCUUUUUUACAAAUGAUUGGAAUUUGUCGACCUUCACCUACCACCACUCUCACUUUAGUGCUACUCUAUGAAGCAUGAAUACUUCAAAAAUGGUGAUGUAUCCGUAUCGCAUCUGUAUCGGAUACCGAUACUCCUUGGAUACUCAUGGAUAUGUAUUUGAUACUUAUUAAUUAUUUUUUCAUUAAUUUAUUCGAUACUUAAUUUUGAAGUAUCAGAUACUUUAAAAGUGAUAUUUACCCCUAAUACUUUAUUUUCUUAUUUGAUGAGAAGAACAUAGUGAGAGUUAAAAGUAAAUAAAAUUUGUUAAAUUGAUGUAUCUUUAUUGUUUCAUGCAUGUCCGCUACAAUUACAUAGAAAGUAAGGAUUAAUAAGAGAAGAUAACAAUAUUAAAAUUAAAAAUUAAUAAAUAAAUAAGCAAGUAAACUUGAGUGCAAUAUGUUUACUAGUACCAAAGGGAAAAACAUAGGAACAAGUUGUGGAUUGUUCUAUUAUUGUAAUAUAAAUAUAUUAAACUUGAUAUUAAGCUGAAAUAUUUGCAAGACUUAUUGAAAAUUUAAAAAAUAAACAAGUUACUAUCUUAAGUUAAUACCUAAUUCUUAAUUCUUAAAGGUUAGUGUUUUUCAUCAUAAAAUUACAAUGUGAUCUCUCAACAUUCUUGAGCUUAUGUGUAACUCACUAUCAAUACUUUUUUUAAAAUAUAUUUUUUAUAAACGUAUCCUAGCCAUAUUCGGGUCUUACUUUUUUAAGUUUUGUCGUAUUGUCAUAUCCGUAUCGUAUCCAUAUCCGUGCUUCCUAGGCGUUACUUUCACCCUCACACCCUCAUUGGUACACUUACAUAUAUAGAGAGUGAGAUAGGGAGGAUGUACAUAUUAUUUGAAAGUGGAGGAAAAUUAAAGCUAAAAUAUAAAGAUCAAUUAAGGCAUUUUCUUUUCAUGAAUAAUGCAGGAUUUUAUGUUUUGGUUGUGAACUUUUGAUAAGGAAGUUAUCUAUCAACUAUGAAAUAGAGGACAAAAAAAAAAAAAAGAAAUAAACAAAAGAAGGAUUUCAUGUAUGUUAAGGAUUUGUAUAAUUAGAGUCAUGUAUACCAAAAAGAAUGACUUCACAAGGAGGGCUAGGCAUUGAAGCGUUAUAUACUAGUGUUGCGCAAAAGUUUUUAAAGUUUGGCAUUUAUUGAUUAGUAUAAGGUCUAAUGGUAAUACACCUAGAUGUGAUGUGGACUUGUUUAGGUUGAGAGAAAAACCAUCUCUCUUUUAGCUGGGCUAUUUUUGAGAAGUUGGUGAUUUUUUAAGACAGUGAUUAUGUUAGAAUAAUAUUGGUUGGGUUAUUAUUUUGUAAUUAUUCUAUGUCUUAGGGCUCCCUUGUAAUUAUUAAUCUUCAUUAAUAUAAAUAGGGGAUGAUAUCCUAAUCAUUCCCUAAUCUGGUAUUUUUUUGAAAUUUAUCAUGGUAUCAGAGCCAAACCCUAAAACCUAAACCCAUCUACCCAUACAGUAUCCACCAGAGCCAACAACCAUCGCCGAAGACAACACACUUCAGCAAGAAGCCUGAGGGGUUUCGGCUCACACCUGAGGGAUUUCGGCUCACCUAAGGUUUCGAAAAUCACCUGGUGCAUGAACGUGAACCAUUGAAUCACCUUCAGAUCAUCUUCAUUGUCUUCGUCGACUACUGGAUGACCCAGCCGACAGCUUCCAAGCCUUCGUUGGCUUCAGUCGACUGCCUCGCCUCUCUCUCUACUUGACUCAUGUGCUGCCUGCCUCUGGUUCUUCAUUGUCUUCCUCUGUCUGUCUUUAGCGCCUUUGGUUCUUUGUCGUCUGUCUGUCUCUCUUUCUUGAGUUAUUUAUUUAUCUUUUAUUUUAUUUUUCUCUUUUCUUAAAAAAAAAAAAAGCAGAAUAUAUAUAUAUAUGAGGAGGUAAAUAUAUGAGUUCACUUUUUAUACUGCCCUAGUGGUCGUCGUGUUUGUGUUUUCCUUCCACCAUCCUCUAUCGAAUUUGUGAUUGGCACUAGUUUUGUUGCGUAGUAGUAUAGUACCUAUGGCUGGUUCUACCGGUGUGUCCAUUACUUCUCAGACACCUAGGAGUGAGAGUCUCCCUAUACCUACUACUACUAUGACUGAUAAUCCCAAACCUAGUCUUAAAAUCACUACCUCUCUAUUUAAUGGUCAGAACUAUCUCGUUUGGUCGCAGAGUUUGACUAUGUUUCUGAAGAGUAGAGGGAAGAUGCGGUAUGUGGAUGGUAGGAUACAGGCACCCAGCACAACUGACCCGGGUUAUGACCAAUGGGAGAUUACCAACCAUUUGAUUGUGGGUUGACUUAUUCAUUUGAUGGUACCGGACAUUGGCGACGGCUAUUUAUCUAUGGAGACGGCCCAGGAUGUUUGGGAUGCUGUGGCUACCACCUAUUCCCGCAAAGGGAAUUUCUCACAGGCAUUUGAGUUACGCUGCUCUAUUGAGAGCUUUGUUCAAGGGGAGCAGACGGUUUUUCAGUACUUCAUUUUCCUCACCAACGGCUGGAAACGCCUUGAUCACCUGCAAGAUUAUAAGCCUGUUUGCACUACUGAUUUAGUUGGGUACAAAAAGUUCAUCGCACAGGAGCGAGUCUUCAAGUUUCUGGCAGGCCUCAAUGUGGAGUAUGAUCUGAUUAGGAGUUGAGUGCCGGGUAUGGACACUCUUCCUUCACUUUAGGACGCAUUUGCCUAUGUACAGAAUGAGGAGAGUCGCUGGUCUGCUAUGAUGUCCCUGGUCUCUACUGACCGCUCAACAUUACUGUCUACCCCUCGAGAUGGCCUCAGCCUGACUCCCAUUCCUCCGUCUACCGCCUAGGAGUCUGUAUUCUGUGAUUACUGUAAAAAGCCGCGGCAUACUCGUGAGACGUGUUGGAAGCUUCAUGGGCCUCCAUCCGGGGGUCGCGGUGAUCGAUUGGUUUCUAGAGGAGGUCGGUUAGGCCAGUCUCGAGGACGUGUCUCCCAUUCACGGGCUCAUCAGUCUAGUGCUGUGGAUUCACUUGAUGUUACUUCCGCUUCCGUUGGCCAGGCUUCUGAUGGUCUCUGUGGCAUGACUACUCCUGAGCUUGAGGAUGUUCUGCGUCACUUGCUAGACCGACGGUCUUCUACUACUCUCAGUAUAUUUUCCUCGUCGUUUGCCCGCCCAGGACCUUGUCAUGAGGAGGACGAUUGGCAGUGGUAGUGCAGAAAAUUGUCUCUAUUUUCUGGAUCAACUGGACAAGCUUGCUCAUUUUUCCACCACGAGUCCUACUAUUACCGAUGAUAUAUGGUUGUGGCAUCGGCGUUUGGGGCAUUCUUCUUUUUAUUUACUUAAGCAUUUAUUUCCAUCUGCUUUUUCACACAAUAAUGUGUAAAUUUCUUUGUGAGUCUUGUCAACUCCAAAAACAACACAGAACUUCUUUUGCUCCCAGUUUUAAUAAAAGUUUAGUUCCAUUUUUAUUAAUAUAUUCUGAUGUCUGGGGUCCAUCUCGUGUUGUGUCUGUGAAAGGUCAUCGCUAGUUUGUUACAUUUAUUGAUGAUUUUUCUCGUACUACUUGGGUGUAUCUCAUGACAGACAAGAGUGAUGUUUUUUCUGUGUUCCGUAAUUUUCAUAAAAUGAUUUGUACCCAGUUUGGGGUCAUUGUCAAAAUAUUACGUUCUAAUAAUGGGGGUAAAUACAUAGAUUCUGGGUUAGGGCAAUAUUUUUUUACUCAUGACAUUAUCCAUUAGACCUCUUGCACUAAUACCCCUCAACAAAAUGGGGUGGCAGAACGCAAGAAUCGCCAUCUUCUUGACAUGGCUAGGUGCAUGUAUUUUUCUAUGAGUGUGCCUCGGUCCUGUUGGGGCGAUGUUGUUCUCACCGUUGUUCAUCUUAUUAAUCGUCUUCCUUCCCAGGUCUUGCAAAAUCAAGCUCCCUUUAAAGUCCUCCUAGGUUCCGAGUCCUUGUUUUCUAUUCCUCCUAAUAUAUUUGGCUGUGUUUAUUUUGUCCACAACCACUCUCCUACUUGUGGAAAGUUGGAUCCUCGCUCCCUCAAAUGUGUUUUCCUUGGCUACUCUCCUACUAAAAAAUCCUUCGCGUAAUUGGUUUGUGUCCAUGGAUGUCACAUUCUUUGAGUCUCAGUCCUAUUUCUUGUCCUCUCCGGUGUCAUAGUCCUCCCUUAAGGGAGAGCCUUGGUGUGAAGGGAUUCUUAUGAUUCCUAUGGUGGAACCAGUGGUUCUUGCACCACCACCUUCUACUGGGACUACAGAACCCAAUGUCACCAAUAAUAGGGAAGGACAAGUUUAUAUUAGGGACAAAGACCGAUAGAAAGUUAACUGUAUACAAGAGACCACUUCUACUCCUCCACUGCCAUCUCCUGCUUCUGAUGAGAGUUCAAGUAACUUUGAAUCUCUUAAGUCCAUUGAUCUUGAUGUUCCUAUUGCCAAGAGAAAGGGUGUGAGAUCUUGUACUCAACAUCCUCUCUCCAAUUUUGUGUCCUGCUCUCAUUUGUCGUCCUCAUAUAGAGCGUUUGUGUCAAAUAUUUCCUCUAUUAGCAUUCAUAACCAUUUCAGGAUGCUCUUGCUAUCUCUGAGUGGAAACUUGCCAUGAUUGAGGAAAUGAAAGCCUUUAGGAAGAAUGGUUCUUGGGAAUUGACUGAGUUACCUAAGGGUAAACGACCUGUGGGAUGCAAAUGGGUGUAUACUGUAAAACACAAAGUAGAUGGUUCUAUUGAGCAUUACAAGGCUAGACUUGUGGCAAAAGGCUUCACUCAGACUUAUGGGGUUGAUUAUUAGGAGACCUUUGCACUCGUGGCUAAGAUGAAUUCAGUCAGAGUAUUUCUCUCUUUAGCAGCUAAUCUAGAUUGGCCACUUUAUCAGUUUGAUGUAAAGAAUGCCUUUCUCCAUGGUGACCUCGAAGAAGAGGUAUACAUGGAUAUUCUUCCUGGUUUUGAGGAUUAUUAGACAGAAGGCAAAGUAUGCAGGUUUCGGAAAUCAUUAUAUGGUUUCAAACAAUCUCCAAGGGCUUGGUUUGAGAGAUUCACUCACGUUAUGCUUAAAUAUGGCUUCAAACAGAGUCAAGCAGAUCACACCUUGUUCGUGAAACAUUCCUCAAGUGGUAAGACUACGACACUCAUUGUUUAUGUAGAUGACAUAGUUCUUACGGGUGAUGAUAGUGAGGAAAUUCCUCUGUUGAAGAAAUAUUUAGCCAAUGAGUUUGAAAUCAAAGACUUGGGGAGCUUGAAGUAUUUUCUAGGAAUUGAAGUUGCUCGCUCCAAGGAUGGGAUACUUAUCUCACAGAGGAAGUAUAUGCUUGAUCUAUUGAAGGAAACCGUGAUGCUUGGUUGCAAGGUCUGUGACACUCCAUUGGAACCUACUCAGAAACUGGGAGAUGAUGAAGGAAGAGCAGCUGUUGAUAAGGGGAGCUAUCAACGAUUAGUGGAUUCACUUCGAGGCUGUCAUGAGAAUUUUGAGAUGCUGACUAGGCUGGACCAGUGACUGAUAGGAGAUCGACUUCAGGGUAUUGCACCUUUAUUGGCGGCAAUCUAGUUACUUGGAGGAGUAAGAAACAGAAUGUGGUUGCCAGGUCAAGUGCAGAAGCUGAAUUUAGAGCUAUGGCACAAGGGCCCUGUUUGGUAGGGUUUAUUUCCAGCUUAU